UCCUACGGGGCGCAGCAGUGAGGAAUAUUGGUCAAUGGCCGAGAGGCUGAACCAGCCAAGUCGCGUGAGGGAUGACGGCCCUACGGGUUGUAAACCUCUUUUGUCGGGGAGCAAGACCCGCCUCGUGCAGGCGGAGCGAGAGUACCCGAAGAAAAAGCAUCGGCUAACUCCGUGCCAGCAGCCGCGGUAAUACGGAGGAUGCGAGCGUUAUCCGGAUUUAUUGGGUUUAAAGGGUGCGUAGGCGGUCCGGAAAGUCAGCGGUAAAAGCCCGGGGCUCAACCCCGGCGAGCCGUUGAAACUGUCGG
rnacentral:rRNA from 1 species